rnacentral:rRNA from 1 species
GAUGAACGCUAGCUACAGGCUUAACACAUGCAAGUCGCGGGACCGGCGCACGGGUGAGUAACGCGUAUCCAACCCGCCAUUCACCACGGGAUGACCCGGCGAAAGUCGAGCUAAUACCGUAUGGGGCGGGAUGGGGAUGCGUCUGAUUAGGUUGACGGCGGGGUAACGGCCCGCCGUGGCUACGAUCGGUAGGGGUUCUGAGAGGGAGGUCCCCCACACUGGAACUGAUACCCGGUCCAGACUCCUACGGGAGGCAGCAGUGAGGAAUAUUGGUCAAUGGGCGUAAGCCUGAACCAGCCAAGUAGCGUGCAGGACGACGGCCUAUGGGUUGUAAACUGCUUUUAUGCGGGGAUAGGUACCGCAUGAAUAAGGACCGGCUAAUUCCGUGCCAGCAGCCGCGGUAAUAC